CCUACGGGAGGCAGCAGUGGGGAAUCUUGCGCAAUGGGCGAAAGCCUGACGCAGCCAUGCCGCGUGAAUGAUGAAGGUCUUAGGAUUGUAAAAUUCUUUCACCGGGGACGAUAAUGACGGUACCCGGAGAAGAAGCCCCGGCUAACUUCGUGCCAGCAGCCGCGGUAAUACGAAGGGGGCUAGCGUUGCUCGGAAUUACUGGGCGUAAAGGGAGCGUAGGCGGACAUUUAAGUCAGGGGUGAAAUCCCGGGGCUCAACCUCGGAAUUGCCUUUGAUACUGGGUGUCUUGAGUAUGAGAGAGGUGUGUGGAACUCCGAGUGUAGAGGUGAAAUUCGUAGAUAUUCGGAAGAGCACCAGUGGCGAGGGCGGCCCACUGGCUCAUUACUGACGCUGAGGCCCGAAAGCGGGGGGAGCAAACAGGAUUAGAUACCCUGUUAGU
rnacentral:rRNA from 1 species